GCUGACGAGUGGCGGACGGGUGAGUAAUGUCUGGGAAACUGCCUGAUGGAGGGGGAUAACUACUGGAAACGGUGGCUAAUACCGCAUAACGUCGCAAGACCAAAGAGGGGGACCUUCGGGCCUCUUGCCAUCAGAUGUGCCCAGAUGGGAUUAGCUAGUUGGUGAGGUAACGGCUCACCAAGGCGACGAUCCCUAGCUGGUCUGAGAGGAUGACCAGCCACACUGGAACUGAGACACGGUCCAGACUCCUACGGGAGGCAGCAGUGGGGAAUAUUGCACAAUGGGCGCAAGCCUGAUGCAGCCAUGCCGCGUGUAUGAAGAAGGCCUUCGGGUUGUAAAGUACUUUCAGCGGGGAGGAAGGUGUUGCGGUUAAUAACCGCAGCAAUUGACGUUACCCGCAGAAGAAGCACCGGCUAACUCCGUGCCAGCAGCCGCGGUAAUACGGAGGGUGCAAGCGUUAAUCGGAAUUACUGGGCGUAAAGCGCACGCAGGCGGUCUGUCAAGUCGGAUGUGAAAUCCCCGGGCUCAACCUGGGAACUGCAUUCGAAACUGGCAGGCUUGAGUCUUGUAGAGGGGGGUAGAAUUCCAGGUGUAGCGGUGAAAUGCGUAGAGAUCUGGAGGAAUACCGGUGGCGAAGGCGGCCCCCUGGACAAAGACUGACGCUCAGGUGCGAAAGCGUGGGGAGCAAACAGGAUUAGAUACCCUGGUAGUCCACGCCGUAAACGAUGUCUACUUGGAGGUUGUGCCCUUGAGGCGUGGCUUCCGGAGCUAACGCGUUAAGUAGACCGCCUGGGGAGUACGGCCGCAAGGUUAAAACUCAAAUGAAUUGACGGGGGCCCGCACAAGCGGUGGAGCAUGUGGUUUAAUUCGAUGCAACGCGAAGAACCUUACCUGGUCUUGACAUCCACAGAAGAAUCCAGAGAUGGAUUUGUGCCUUCGGGAACUGUGAGACAGGUGCUGCAUGGCUGUCGUCAGCUCGUGUUGUGAAAUGUUGGGUUAAGUCCCGCAACGAGCGCAACCCUUAUCCUUUGUUGCCAGCGGUUAGGCCGGGAACUCAAAGGAGACUGCCAGUGAUAAACUGGAGGAAGGUGGGGAUGACGUCAAGUCAUCAUGGCCCUUACGACCAGGGCUACACACGUGCUACAAUGGCGCAUACAAAGAGAAGCGACCUCGCGAGAGCAAGCGGACCUCAUAAAGUGCGUCGUAGUCCGGAUUGGAGUCUGCAACUCGACUCCAUGAAGUCGGAAUCGCUAGUAAUCGUGGAUCAGAAUGCCACGGUGAAUACGUUCCCGGGCCUUGUACACACCGCCCGUCACACCAUGGGAGUGGGUUGCAAAAGAAGUAGGUAGCUUAACCUUCGGGAGGGCGCUUACCACUUUGUGAUUCAUGACUGGGGUGAAGUCGUAACAAGGUAACCGUAGGGGAACCUGCGGUUGGAUCACCUCCUUACCUUAAAGAA
rnacentral:rRNA from 1 species